AUUUCUCGCGUAUUUUAGUAAUAUUUAGCCGUAUAAUUGUGGAUUUACGAGACGAGCUAUGGUUAUGCAGAAGAAGAUAGUGAAUAGUGAAAGACCGUUGAAACCAGGAACAGAAUAUCUCCAUCUCGGAACGAUUUCGCCGCUAGGUACAUGUGUAUUAAUCAGAAUCAGAACUUUCCAAGUUUCUAUUCGAAUUCCGAAUUUCCACUAAUUGCGAAUUAAUUAUUUCGGUUUACGAAGAAAUAAAUCGCCGGCACUUCUGUACGGAAUGGGCAUUGCAUUGGGCAUUCGUACGUCAUCCAAUCUCCAUCUCCAGUCAGCUGUUCAACAAGUGGCAAGGUGCCGGGUGGCGUCUGAAGACUGAAAACGUGUACGGUAUAUUGAAUUGAACGCGGUGGCAGAGUUGGAGAAAAAAACUAACGUGAAAAUCAACAAAACGAAACAAGGUCAGGUUUAUUCGCCUAUGAGAAAUUUCUUUUAUUGUGGACGUCGCGUUUUGUCUCAUCGUCCGCGGGUUCGGGGUUACAGACGAAAUAUUAAUAUCGCCGAGGUAUUCUGUAUUUCGCAUCACCUUAUCAGCAGCAAUCAAACGAAGCAGAUUGUACGAUCAAUGGGAAUUUAAAAGUAAGUAAAGUACGACUACGAAGAUAUGUUCGCUAGAACUACAUAAUAUAGGUAGUUAGGUACUAGAUAGAUUAGAUACCU